rnacentral:rRNA from 1 species
GCUUCUUUUUCCNCCGGAGCUUGCUCCACCGGAAAAAGAGGAGUGGCGAACGGGUGAGUAACACGUGGGUAACCUGCCCAUCAGAAGGGGAUAACACUUGGAAACAGGUGCUAAUACCGUAUAACAAUCGAAACCGCAUGGUUUUGAUUUGAAAGGCGCUUUCGGGUGUCGCUGAUGGAUGGACCCGCGGUGCAUUAGCUAGUUGGUGAGGUAACGGCUCACCAAGGCCACGAUGCAUAGCCGACCUGAGAGGGUGAUCGGCCACAUUGGGACUGAGACACGGCCCAAACUCCUACGGGAGGCAGCAGUAGGGAAUCUUCGGCAAUGGACGAAAGUCUGACCGAGCAACGCCGCGUGAGUGAAGAAGGUUUUCGGAUCGUAAAACUCUGUUGUUAGAGAAGAACAAGGAUGAGAGUAACUGUUCAUCCCUUGACGGUAUCUAACCAGAAAGCCACGGCUAACUACGUGCCAGCAGCCGCGGUAAUACGUAGGUGGCAAGCGUUGUCCGGAUUUAUUGGGCGUAAAGCGAGCGCAGGCGGUUUCUUAAGUCUGAUGUGAAAGCCCCCGGCUCAACCGGGGAGGGUCAUUGGAAACUGGGAGACUUGAGUGCAGAAGAGGAGAGUGGAAUUCCAUGUGUAGCGGUGAAAUGCGUAGAUAUAUGGAGGAACACCAGUGNCGAANNNGGCUCUCUGGUCUGUAACUGACGCUGANGNUCGAAAGCGUGGGGAGCAAACAGGAUUANAUACCCUGGUAGUCCNCGCCGU